GUCGCACCAGCCUGCCAGUACUGAUUCGCCACAAAAAGCAAAAACAAUGGUCCACAGGUCAGGCUGUGACUGCUGCCUGGAGCAGGCGACACUCAGAGACGGCCUAAAAUGGUGGGUCUCCCUGGAGCGCUGACAUGACGCUGACAGGUGGGAACAUCAGGGCAGAUAAAGCCAAGAAGAUGGGUCUAGUGCACCGGCUUGUGGACCCUCUGGCCUGCAGAGGAGAGGAGAGGACUAUUGAAUACCUGGAGGAAGUUGCAGUGGGCGUGGCCAAGGGAGUCGUCAACAAGCAGGUUCUUUUUACAACGGAGAAGAGCCUCAUGCAGAGUGAGUGAAGCCUGGUUCACACUAGCCCUGAUCUCAC